rnacentral:rRNA from 1 species
AGCUCCAAUAGCGUAUAUUAAAGUUGUUGCGGUUAAAAAGCUCGUAGUUGGAUUUUUGGCGUGAUGGAGGGGUCCGGUAAAUCCGCGUACCCGAUCUGUCGAGUCAUUUGUCGGGGGGUGCGGGGUAUGCUUGAUUGUGUGCCUGCGGUGCCCUCAUGACGACUACUUUGAACAAAUUAGAGUGUUUAAAGCAGGCCGUAGUGCCGUGAAUACAUUAGCAUGGAAUAGCGUAUAGGACUUUGGUUCUAUUUUGUUGGUUUUAAGGACCGAAGUAAUGAUUAAUAGGGACAGUUGGGGGCAUUAGUAUUUCGUAGUCAGAGGUGAAAUUCUUAGAUUUACGAAAGACUAACUUCUGCGAAAGCAUUUGUCAAGGAUGUUUUCAUUAAUCAAGAACGAAAGU